UACGAAGGGGGCUAGCGUUGCUCGGAAUCGCUGGGCGUAAAGCGCACGUAGGCGGCUUUCUAAGUCAGGGGUGAAAUCCUGGAGCUCAACUCCAGAACUGCCUUUGAUACUGGAGAGCUUGAGUCCGGGAGAGGUGAGUGGAACUCCGAGUGUAGAGGUGAAAUUCGUAGAUAUUCGGAGGAACACCAGUGGCGAAGGCGGCUCACUGGUCCAUUACUGACGCUGAGGUGCGAAAGCGUGGGGAGCAAACA
rnacentral:rRNA from 1 species